rnacentral:piRNA from 1 species
UUUGCAUGAUUCUGAUUGGCGGUUUGUAC